CGGGAUGUCUCACGUUUCAUGAGCGGUGAAGAUGAUGGUGUGCCAUAGUGCCAAACAUGUAAGUCGAUCUUGAUCUACACCUUUUGUUUCCUCAAUUCUUCCGUGAUUUUCCAAGGAUACCUACGAAUCCGUUGCUAACUGGGAAAUAAUUUUCCUCGAGAUAUGAUCAGAUUAUUCAGAUAGAGCUUACAAAAUGCAUCUUACUGACAAAAAAGAAGAAAAUUUAUUGCCCCCUACAUGCAACGUUGGUAGGAACUGGAUCUGAAAAUGAUGUUUAAACUGUUGACUUUGUUACCCAUAUUCCUUGCGCAGCCAGCUCGCCCAGCUAAAAGCGAUGACAAGUUCUCGUGUUUAAUUAUGGGGAGAUUUUUGUUGUCUUUUACUUCAGUUUCGUUUUUAACCGUAGCAUCAGGAAGAUCAGCAUUAUAUGCUUCUCCUUUGAGAGAAUGUACAGUGUGGUUUAAGAGUAAUAAAAGAAAAAUGAAGACAACGAUUUGAAAUGAAAAUGUUGCCGGCCAUCAUAACAAAAAGACAUUGAAGUUUUUCUCGUGCUGAGGAGCUGUCAUCAGCAAGAAUCUCAAUAUCAUCACAAAUGAUGUCCUCGUGUAUCUGAGUGAGAACGCCCUUUUCCUAUCCUGCCUGGUGUAACCAUUACUCUGCUCGCGGCUAGCCGAUUUGCUUAUUCAAAAUUGAAAAAUGACCGUGUCCAGUCCUCAACAGAUGAAACGUUCUAGUGGUUCUACCUUCAAUAGACGAGUAGUUAAUUCAAACAAAGUUUAGAAUCAGUACGACCACCACAAAUCAAUGUCUAGUUACCUAUUCAUUCCAGCCUUGUGCCUUGGCAACGCAAUCAAUUAUUUAUCGCAGAGUUUCAGCUUCGGUUAUACGAUACAGCAUACAGUGCAAGUGCCAACGAUUGACUUUUUCAUCAUUUGAAUGUUCGCUUCACCAGCGGGGGCUGACUUGUUAAAUAAUAAAUGAUCAGACUCUUGGAAUCAGCUGAAAGAGAAACUCUGUUUGUUGAUACGACUGUCUGUACUCUGUAGGCAGGGCCUGUCUCUUUGUUGCUUCAUUACUUUACCAGUUUUACCUUUGCGUUAAGCACGUAAACUCAGAAAAAAGUAUUAAGGUUCCGGCUUUCAAAUGCGCGUCCCCAACUUGAGUCAACUUAUAUAGCGCGUAAUGCGGUUCGUCAUAGAAAUUGUAAUAAAUUUCACAAUCAAAUGAAUAGACAAUAAACAUGAAGGUAAGAGCCUUAACCACUGCCGUCGUAACAAUAUGGAAUGGUAGAUCAUCAAAAUUCAAUGGCAAAAAGUUGACUACAAUCGUCCGCACCGAGUAUUCUUAAUCAUCCUAUUACCUAAGAUCCUUGUUUAAGAAGCUUAUUGUAAACCAGCCCUGAAUGAGUCUUAUAGUGGAUUGUGUACGAACUUUUUUAGACAUUGUCCGUGUUGUUUUGGUUGGUGUUGCUGCUGCGUAUUAGCAUCAAUGCUUAAUUGCCUGCUUAUUUUUACGACUUUCCGGUUCUGUCAGGUUACCCCCCAAAAAAAGUUAUUUGAAGCAACUUCUAAUACUUGGAGAGUCAGAAAUACUUCCAGUUUCUAAGAACA